ACCGGCAGCCAUAUCACCCUGUAGCCCAAGACUGGUUACCCACUGAAGCUAAGCAGGGCAGACCUCCUGGGAAAACUAGGUUGCUGCUGGAA
rnacentral:rRNA from 1 species